rnacentral:rRNA from 1 species
CCUACGGGCGGCAGCAGUGGGGAAUAUUGGACAAUGGGGGCAACCCUGAUCCAGCCAUGCCGCGUGUGUGAAGAAGGCCCUCGGGUUGUAAAGCACUUUCAGUGAGGAAGAACGCCUGGUGGUUAAUACCCAUCAGGAAAGACAUCACUCACAGAAGAAGCACCGGCUAACUCCGUGCCAGCAGCCGCGGGAAUACGGAGGGUGCGAGCGUUAAUCGGAAUUACUGGGCGUAAAGCGCGCGUAGGUGGCUUGAUAAGCCGGUUGUGAAAGCCCCGGGCUCAACCUGGGAACGGCAUCCGGAACUGUCAAGCUAGAGUGCAGGAGAGGAAGGUAGAAUUCCCGGUGUAGCGGUGAAAUGCGUAGAGAUCGGGAGGAAUACCAGUGGCGAAGGCGGCCUUCUGGACUGACACUGACACUGAGGUGCGAAAGCGUGGGUAGCAAACAGGAUUAGAUACCCUAGUAGUC